GCAGUUUCCUGCUACACGAGUUGUCUUCUGCAAGAAUGGGCUGGAGGAGUUCAGCCUGAAAGCCCAGCAGGGCAGGCUCAUCUACGCUCUGGUCCUGAACAUCACCUCCAGAAGUGCUGGGAUGUACACGUGUGGGUACCAGCAAAAGAACAAGGAAAACAACGUGAAGAACUCUGCUCUCAGUGCUCCCCGGACCUUGUCUGUAGCAGGUGCUGGUGAGACCAUCACUGAUAUCCACAGCCACACAGCCCCAUAUCCCCGGAUUCUGCACACCCUCCCCACAGGCACGGUGCUGGCAGUGGCGGCCGUCGGCCUCGUCCUCCUGGCUGCAGGCAGCUGGUUUGCCAUCAGGAAAGGUGCCUGCAGAGGGAGAUGCCCAAGGCAGCAGCACGUUGACAGCCCACAGAUGGAAACCACAGACCAUGGCGAAGUCACAUGUGAGUACUACCUCCUCCGUUGGCGGAAGCCAUGCACCCGUGUCAGGUGGAAUCCCAGCACUUCAUUUCCCACUGGGACAUACAGAAUCCCUGCCUGUUCAUCAAGACCAGGUUUCUCUCCAGCACCUCACGUCGUCCUUCUUCCUUGCAUGCAGAGUGCGGCUGCUGCCUGCACAAGGGACAUGGCAGCAUCCCAGUGCUCCCAGGGACAAAGCCCUUUUGCUUGGGGGGUUCCUUCCACACCAGCUCCGGCCUCAGGCUGCAUUUCCCCUGCUUCAGCCUCUGCUUUUGUCCUUUCUUCAGUUUCUCUUCAGUGUCAUUUCUGCUUCAAGAACUACACAAAGCACAUCACAGCAACAAAAGCUGUCGCUCUGUUUCCUUGCACUGCUGGGGAAAACAUUUUAUAG
rnacentral:lncRNA from 1 species